rnacentral:rRNA from 1 species
CAAUAGCGUAUAUUUAAGUUGUUGCAGUUAAAAAGCUCGUAGUUGGAUUUCGGGUUGGCUUCAGCGGUCUCGCUUUGCGUUUGUACUGCCGCAGCCUUCCUUCUUGCUGGGGACGGUCAUCCGGGCUUCAUUGCUUGGGGUCUGGAAUCAGCGACGUUACUUUGAGUAAAUUAGAGUGUUCAAAGCAAGCCUACGCUCUGAAUAUAAUAGCAUGGGAUAACACGACAGGACUCUGGCCUAUCGUGUUGGUCUGUAGGACCAGAGUAAUGAUUAAGAGGGACAGUCGGGGGCAUUCGUAUUCCGUUGUCAGAGGUGAAAUUCUUGGAUUUACGGAAGACGAACAUCUGCGAAAGCAUUUGCCAAGGAUGUUUUCAUUGA